UAAGAGAAUCUGUCUUGAGCCA
rnacentral:piRNA from 1 species